rnacentral:rRNA from 1 species
CAGUAGCCGCGGUAAUACGGAGGGGGCUAGCGUUGUUCGGAAUUACUGGGCGUAAAGCGUGCGUAGGCGGUGAGUUAAGUCUGCUGUGAAAUCCCCGGGCUCAACCUGGGAAUGGCAGUGGAUACUGGCUCGCUAGAGUGUGUCAGAGGAUGGUGGAAUUCCCGGUGUAGCGGUGAAAUGCGUAGAGAUCUGGAGGAACAUCAGCGGCGAAGGCGGCCACCUGGGACAACACUGACGCUGAGGCACGAAAGCGUGGGGAGCAAACAGGAUUAGAUACCCGCGUAGUCCCUGUCUCUUAUAC